rnacentral:rRNA from 1 species
GAUUAAGAGCUUGCUCUUAUGAAGUUAGCGGCGGACGGGUGAGUAACACGUGGGUAACCUGCCCAUAAGACUGGGAUAACUCCGGGAAACCGGGGCUAAUACCGGAUAACAUUUUGAACCGCAUGGUUCGAAAUUGAAAGGCGGCUUCGGCUGUCACUUAUGGAUGGACCCGCGUCGCAUUAGCUAGUUGGUGAGGUAACGGCUCACCAAGGCAACGAUGCGUAGCCGACCUGAGAGGGUGAUCGGCCACACUGGGACUGAGACACGGCCCAGACUCCUACGGGAGGCAGCAGUAGGGAAUCUUCCGCAAUGGACGAAAGUCUGACGGAGCAACGCCGCGUGAGUGAUGAAGGCUUUCGGGUCGUAAAACUCUGUUGUUAGGGAAGAACAAGUGCUAGUUGAAUAAGCUGGCACCUUGACGGUACCUAACCAGAAAGCCACGGCUAACUACGUGCCAGCAGCCGCGGUAAUACGUAGGUGGCAAGCGUUAUCCGGAAUUAUUGGGCGUAAAGCGCGCGCAGGUGGUUUCUUAAGUCUGAUGUGAAAGCCCACGGCUCAACCGUGAAGGGUCAUUGGAAACUGGGAGACUUGAGUGCACAAAAGGAAAGUGGAAUUCCAUGUGUAGCGGUGAAAUGCGUACAGAUAUGGAGGAACACCAGUGGCGAAGGCGACUUUCUGGUCUGUAACUGACACUGAGGCGCGAUAGCGUGCGGAGCA